rnacentral:rRNA from 1 species
GACGAACCGAGCGAACGUUGUUCGGAAUCACUGGGCUUAAAGGGCGCGUAGGCGGGUUCGCAAGUCCGGGGUGAAAUCCCACAGCUCAACUGUGGAACUGCCUCGGAUACUGCGGGUCUCGAGGGUGGUAGGGGUAUGCGGAACUAUCGGUGGAGCGGUGAAAUGCGUUGAUAUCGAUAGGAACUCCGGUGGCGAAGGCGGCAUACUGGACCACUUCUGACGCUGAGGCGCGAAAGCCAGGGGAGCAAACGGG